CUGCUCUGCAAAGACAAGAUUUCAUUGAGCUGUGGGUUUUUAACACAAGAGGAGCUGCCAUUUUCAUUUACUUCUCUGAUUCACACCAGAAAAGGUCCAGAUCCAGCUCUUUGAUGUAACAGUCAUGAACACUGAUUUUCUCGCCUCCCUUCACAGAUGCAAGACCACUCGAGCCCCAGUGGCCAUCUAAGGCUGUGUGCUUGCAAAAGCAAUACCAGGGACAAAUCUGUUUGUGAACCAGCCACACGAUUUUCAAGCUGGCAGAUAAAAACUAGAGCAGAAACCAGCUUGCACAAGCCUGAAUCCUGCAGGGAACAGUAAGGAGCAAUGUCAGCUUCAGGAGCUCAGCAAGAAGAAUAUUGCAGUACUGGGCCUGAACACACCUGGCAUUGGCAGCAGGGCACUUCCACAGCUCAGAAGAGCUCGCUAUUCAUCUCUGAGACUUUGGUUUCACUUCUCUGCCUUGCAGCUCUGCACACGCAGUUGGGCAGAGCUCACCAGCUCUUUAGUCCUUAUCUGCCCUCUCUCACAUUUGGAAAAUGCAGCAGCCUUUCCCAAGACAAAAUGCAAAAUGCUGGUGAGGAACAAGGAUUUAUCUGCUCUAACAGCAGGUAUAGAAAAAGUGUGACAUGAAGGCAGGUUAUGUAUCUGGUCCCACUGAUCCCGGCUCCUCGACACCAGGCAAGACAUUUCUGUUUAGUACAAAAGGCAAACUGGAAAGUCAGCCUGUGAGUGGUCCUGUCUUUCCCCCACCACAAAGCUGGUAAAAAGGUACACUGUGAAAAAGAAAUUUGUUGUUGUUGUUGUUUGUUUUGGGUUUUUUGUUUGGUUUUGUUUCAUUUUGUUUUUUGUUUAGGGGAGCCAUUUAACACACUA